UGUCUAUACAAAAAGUACUCUGUUGGUC
rnacentral:sRNA from 1 species